UACGUAGGCAGCAAGCGUUGUUCGGAGUUACUGGGCGUAAAGGGUGCGUAGGCGGUCCUAUAAGUAUGGUGUGAAAUCUCCAGGCUUAACUGGGAGGGUGCGCUAUAGACUGUGGGACUAGAGUGUGGGAGAGGAAAGUGGAAUUCCUGGUGUAGCGGUGAAAUGCGUAGAUAUCAGGAGGAAUACCGAUGGCGAAGGCAGGUCUCUGGGCUGACACUGACGCUCAUGCACGAAAGCGUGGGGAGCAAACAGG
rnacentral:rRNA from 1 species